GAUGAACGCUGGCGGCGUGCCUAAUACAUGCAAGUCGAGCGAACAGAUGAGGAGCUUGCUCCUCUGACGUUAGCGGCGGACGGGUGAGUAACACGUGGAUAACCUACCUAUAAGACUGGGAUAACUUCGGGAAACCGGAGCUAAUACCGGAUAAUAUAUUGAACCGCAUGGUUCAAUAGUGAAAGACGGUUUUGCUGUCACUUAUAGAUGGAUCCGCGCCGCAUUAGCUAGUUGGUAAGGUAACGGCUUACCAAGGCAACGAUGCGUAGCCGACCUGAGAGGGUGAUCGGCCACACUGGAACUGAGACACGGUCCAGACUCCUACGGGAGGCAGCAGUAGGGAAUCUUCCGCAAUGGUCUAAAUCCUGACGCAACAACGCCACGUGAGUGAUGAAGGUCUUCGGAUCGUAAAACUCUGUUAUUAGGGAAGAACAAAUGUGUAAGUAACUAUGCACGUCUUGACGGUACCUAAUCAGAAAGCCACGGCUAACUACGUG
rnacentral:rRNA from 1 species